rnacentral:rRNA from 1 species
UACGGGGGGGGCAAGCGUUGUUCGGAAUUACUGGGCGUAAAAGGCCAGUAGGCGGCCAACUAAGUCGGAUGUGAAAUCCCCAGGCUUAACCUGGGAACUGCAUCCGAUACUGGAUGGCUUGAAUUCGGGAGAGGGAUGCAGAAUUCCAGGUGUAGCGGUGAAAUGCGUAGAUAUCUGGAGGAAUACCGGUGGCGAAGGCGGCAUCCUGGACCGACAUUGACGCUGAACGGCGAAAGCUAGGGGGGCAAACGGG